AUGGAGCGCAGGGCCUACGCGCGCGUGGGCCUCCCCGGCAACCCCAGCGACGUCUACGGCGGCCGCGCCAUCUCCUUCACCGUCGCCGGCCUCUGGGCCACCAUCCGCCUCCGCCCCUCCGACCAGCUCCUCGUCCAGCCCCACCCGCGCCACGACCUCGUCGCCUUCCCCUCCCUCCACGCCCUCGUAAGCGCCCCUCCCCCUACCCCUCCCCCAUCCCUCGCAAUGGAUAUAGAUACAUCAAUGCCGGUGCAUGAACGGACAGAUCUAGCAAGCGCGAAUCAAUCCAUCCAUUGCACCGCGGCGCAGAUGAUCCAUCGAAUCCGUGUGCAGGUGGAGCGCCUGGAUGGCGGCGGGUACUACGGCGGCGUGCGGCUGCUGCUGGCGAUCUGCAGGAUCUUCCACAACCACUGCAAGCAGAGCGGCAUCGCCCUGGCGCGACUUCCUCCCGCGCGGCUCCAACAUCUGCAUGCGCCGCCUGCUCGUGCUCCAGCUCGUGCACCAGCCGCGCGGCGCCGCCGAUGCCAAGAGGGACGAGUGGGGCGAGUUCCUGCACCACCCCGGCCGCCGCUUCUACGAGUUCCCCGACAUCCGACGCAAGAUCCAGGUCUGCGCCCCCCUCCUGUUAAUCUGUUCGUCUCCGCAGGUGGAACAGGGGCCCGAUGGUAG
rnacentral:rRNA from 1 species